AGCGUAGGCGGACAUUUAAGUCAGGGGGUGAAAUCCCGGGGCUCAACCUCGGAAUUGCCUUUGAUACUGGGUGUCUUGAGUAUGAGAGAGGUGUGUGGAACUCCGAGUAUAGAGGUGAAAUUCGUAGAUAUUCGGAAGAACACCAGUGGCGAAGGCGACACACUGGCUCAUUACUGACGCUGAGGCUCGAAAGCGUGGGGAGCAAACA
rnacentral:rRNA from 1 species